ACAAACCGCUACCCCGGAUUCGCCGCCACAUCCCGGUACUCUUUUCUCCGCCGCCCUUGAAAGAGAACGUCCUAUGUGAAAGAUAGCACUAGUUGGUCCCUGGAGACUGCUGUCUGGUUGGAGAGUCACCUGCUCCCCUCCAUGGAGACAGACCAGACUGAUCAACAGUCGGCUGGAGGGAGUUGGUGGUUAUGGUUACAGAAGUCAUCAAAAGAGAGCGCCUGGGGAAUAGGAGUGGAGCUAGGCACUGCAGGUCUUGGAUUCACCUCUACAUCACCAGAGGAACAGAGGAGGAGUUGGUGGUUGACCCAUCAGAGGAGUUUUAUUAUGGAUGGCUACAGGUCAUGACCUUUCCCAUCUUCUACAUCUGGGUUCUCUUCAUCUGCAUAUGCUUACAUCAAAUGUAGGAGUGAAGCUAGGCACUGCAGGUCCUGGAUUAACCUCUACAUCACCAGAGGAACAGAGGAGGAGUUGGUGGUUGACCCAUCAGAGGAGUUUUAUUAUGGAUGGCUACAGGUCAUGACCUUUCCCAUCUUCUACAUCUGGGUUCUCUUCAUCUGCUUAUGCUUACAUCAAAUGUAGCCUAUGGCUGGCCGGUUAUCCGUUCCAAGGUGUUCGCUUCGUGUCAAUCUACUGUUUCUCUGUUUCUCUGUUUCUCUGUUCUUCUUCUGUUGUUUAUUUUUUGUGUCUUUCUUCUUUGUGUAAAAUAUGUUAAGACCUUGUUACACAUGAAAUAAAUUGUGAUUUGAUUGGAUUGAUAAUAAACAGAAGAAUAAAUAGA